AUUGAACGCUGGCGGCAGGCUUAACACAUGCAAGUCGAGCGGAGUGAUGGUGCUUGCACUAUCACUUAGCGGCGGACGGGUGAGUAAUGCUUAGGAAUCUGCCAUUUAGUGGGGGACAACAUUCCGAAAGGAAUGCUAAUACCGCAUACGUCCUACGGGAGAAAGCAGGGGAUCUUCGGACCUUGCGCUAAAUGAUGAGCCUAAGUCGGAUUAGCUAGGUGGUGGGGUAAAGGCCUACCAAGGCGACGAUCUGUAGCGGGUCUGAGAGGAUGAGCCGCCACACUCGGACUGAGACACGGAUCAGACUCGUGCGGGAGGCAGCAGUGGGGAAUCUUGGACAAUGGGGUGAUGCCUGAUCCAGCCAUGCCGGGUGUGUGAAGAAGGCCUAUUGGUUGUAAAGCACUUUAAGCGUGGAGGAGGCUACUAGUACUAAUACUACUGGAUAGUGGACGUUACUCGCAGAAUAAGCACCGGCUAACUCUGUGCCAGCCGCCGCCGUAAUAC
rnacentral:rRNA from 1 species